UACAGAGGUCCCAAGCGUUGUUCGGAUUCACUGGGCGUAAAGGGUGCGUAGGUGGUCGGGUAAGUCUGAUGUGAAAUCUCCGAGCUUAACUCGGAAAUGGCAUUGGAUACUAUUCGGCUAGAGGGUUUGAGGGGGGACUGGAAUACUUGGUGUAGCAGUGAAAUGCGUAGAUAUCGAGAGGAACACCUGCGGCGAAGGCGGGUUGCUGGGCUGACACUGACGCUGAAGCGCGAAAGCUAGGGGAGCGAACGGG
rnacentral:rRNA from 1 species